GAUGAACGCUGGCGGCGUGCCUAAUACAUGCAAGUCGAGCGAACAGACGAGGAGCUUGCUCCUCUGACGUUAGCGGCGGACGGGUGAGUAACACGUGGAUAACCUACCUAUAAGACUGGGAUAACUUCGGGAAACCGGAGCUAAUACCGGAUAAUAUAUUGAACCGCAUGGUUCAAUGGUGAAAGACGGUUUUGCUGUCACUUAUAGAUGGAUCCGCGCCGCAUUAGCUAGUUGGUAAGGUAACGGCUUACCAAGGCAACGAUGCGUAGCCGACCCGAGAGGGUGAUCGGCCACACUGGAACUGAGACACGGUCCAGACUCCUACGGGAGGCAGCAGUAGGGAAUCUUCCGCAAUGGGCGAAAGCCUGACGGAGCAACGCCGCGUGAGUGAUGAAGGUCUUCGGAUCGUAAAACUCUGUUAUUAGGGAAGAACAAAUGUGUAAGUAACUAUGCACGUCUUGACGGUACCUAAUCAGAAAGCCACGGCUAACUACGUG
rnacentral:rRNA from 1 species